CGGACGGGUGAGUAAUGUCUGGGAAACUGCCUGAUGGAGGGGGAUAACUACUGGAAACGGUAGCUAAUACCGCAUAACGUCCGCAAGACCAAAGAGGGGGACCUUCGGGCCUCUUGCCAUCGGAUGUGCCCAGAUGGGAUUAGCUAGUAGGUGGGGUAACGGCUCACCUAGGCGACGAUCCCUAGCUGGUCUGAGAGGAUGACCAGCCACACUGGAACUGAGACACGGUCCAG
rnacentral:rRNA from 1 species